CCUACGGGGGACAGCAGUGGGGGAUAUUGCACAAUGGGGGGAACCCUGAUGCAGCGACGCCGCGUGGGUGAAGGAGCGUUUCGGAGCGUAAAGCCCUUUUGGCAGGGAAGAAGAUGACGGUACCUGACCAAGAAGCACCGGCUAACUACGUGCCAGCAGCCGCGGUAAUACGGAGGGGGCAAGCGUUAUACGGAUUCACUGGGCGGAAAGAGGGCGUAGACGGCAUUGCAAGUCAGGAGUGAAAGCCCGGGGCCCAACCACGGUACUGCACUUGAAACUGCAUGGCUAGAGUACGGGAGGGGCAGGUGGAAUUCCUGGUGUAGCGGUGAAAUGCGUAGAGAUUAGGAGGAACACCGGUGGCGAAGGCGGCCUGCUGGACUGUAACUGACGUUGAUGCCCGAAGGCGUGGGGAGCAAACAGGAUUAGAUACCCUAGUAGUC
rnacentral:rRNA from 1 species